GCCGCGUUAGCGUAGUGGUAGCGCGUCGCACUUGUACGGAUGUCGAAUGCACUCCAUUAAAUGCGAAGGUCACUCGUUCGACCCGGGUACGUGGCA
rfam:Daedalea quercina L-15889 unplaced genomic scaffold DAEQTscaffold_111, whole genome shotgun sequence.